UUGAACUCCUCAUCGUAGACGUAGAGCAUAUUCCUUUUUUUUUACCUUUUCUAUUAUUUAGAGCAACUUUCAUUUGACUCCCCACUUCCCCUUUCAUGGCAUUCUUAAUCGGAGAGUUAGGUCAACAAUCACUCCUCAAUUCAAUAGUAAAACUGAAUCCAGCAGUCGAUAUCUUCGGAUUAGUGUUCCUAUUUUUCAUCGAUUUUGGUUACAGAUAGAUUUCAGAUUUCAAAUUCAAAUCCACAUUGUUUAGCUUUUUAUCCCGCUAAUGGAGCUAUAUAUAUGUGAUCGGUGUUACUAUCUAAUUCUCCACUGCAUACGGCUUCCCUCAAUUGCGAGUAUUAGCUUAAAUUUCAGUUCAAUGGCUUUAAAUAAAGUUACUCUCAUCAGUGACCUUGAUGUGUUACUCGAAAGCUACAAACUCAAGGUGAAAAUCAUUCGUUUGUGGAAACAAACUGUACGGUGAAAAUCAUUAAUAUUUAUAUAACAUCACUGUCAAAUUCACUUCAA